rnacentral:rRNA from 1 species
UACGUAGGGGGCAAGCGUUGUCCGGAUUUAUUGGGCGUAAAGAGCGUGUAGGCGGCCAGGCAGGUCCGUUGUGAAAACUCGAGGCUCAACCUCGAGACGUCGGCGGAAACCCUCUGGCUAGAGUCCGGAAGAGGAGAGUGGAAUUCCUGGUGUAGCGGUGAAAUGCGCAGAUAUCAGGAAGAACACCCGUGGCGAAGGCGGCUCUCUGGGACGGUACUGACGCUGAGACGCGAAAGCGUGGGGAGCAAACAGG